AGGAAAGCCAUUGGAAGAGGACGCAGCCAAGCUAAAGGGAGCAGUUUGGAAGAAGAAGAAGAAGUUUGGAUUUGAUAUCCCGCUUUAUCACUACCUGAAGGAGUCUCAAAGUGGCUAACAUUCUCCUUUUCCUUCCUCCCCCACAACAAACACUCUGUGAGGUGAGUGGGGCUGAGAGACUUCAGAGAAGUGUGACAAGCCCAAGGUCACCCAGCAGCUGCAUGUGGAGAAGCGGAGACGCGAACCCGGUUCACCAGAUUACGAGACUACCGCUCUUAACCACUACACCACGCUGGCUCUCUCACACUGGAAGGAGGCAGGGAUCCUAUUUUGUAAUGAAUCAUAGAAUUAUUUUGGGUUGAGUUGGAAGGGACCAGGAGGGUCAGCUUGUCCAAUCCCCUGCAAUGCAGGAAUCUUUUGCCGAACAUGGGGCUUGAACUCACAACCCUGAGAUUAGGAGUCUCAUGCUCUACUGACUGAGCAACUGCAUAAGGGGGAGAAGAGAGCUGUGCUGAAUAUAUCAGGGUGGGUUUCCUAAUAAAUGGAUAGAUCCUAUGCAGUAUCUCAGUGGUAGAUCAGAUGCCCUCUACAGAUAGCUUUGUCCUUAGAAGGGGGCGGCAGUGGGCAGAGCCCCACACUCUCCUUCACAUUAUUGUUUAUCAUGACGAGGGAUAAUGCCAGACAAGAGCAGACAGAUGCAGAGAAGGAGAGAGAUCGGUGAGUUAGUUGAAGAAUGGAAGCUAUUGCACGGUGCAGAGCCUCUUCCUGGGGAAUCUGUCAUGGGAUAACAAAUCUGUUGCCUUUUAAGAAUAUCUGAGGGUUGCCUCCAUCUGUGCUCUACUUGGAUAUUUGUAAGGAAAGCCAUUAUUACAAAAGCACAGCAAGUCCUGAAAUCUGAGAGAAACAGUACCGUUCAAAAUUUAAGUGAUUCCAGGAAGGGGACCCACAACUUUAGAAAUUACUGGAGGGAAUGGAAAGGUUAGGCUCCAUUUCCAGUUCAGAAAAACACUGAGAAUCGAAACGCAAAAUAUUGUUUUACAAACUAUUUUAAGAGGCUUUAUUUGCAUUCUUUGUAAUGCCUCAUAAUAACUACAGCAGCAUGGGCCAUUGUGCCCUGGCACGACUAUUGAAUCCACAGUCCAUUUCAAUUUCAUUUUUCACAGGAACCCCGUUGUGUGUGAAAGCAACACCUGGAAAGAACUACAGGUUCUUCUGGGAAACCACUGGAUGUCCCUGACGACAAAGCAGAGUUUCCACAACUGUUAAGAACCCGUCGGUGGAUGAAGGAUAUGAGACCAUCAGAGUGAUGGAAAGUUGGCUCUCUCUGUGGAGUUUUGGCGAGGAAGCGACAGAGCAGCAGCCUGCCUGCUUUGUAUGUGUUUGGCAUAGCCUGGACAUGCACUCCGCUAGGUACAAGGCACCGAUGAGGCACACUGAUAAAACAGCAUCAGGAU